UACGAAGGGGGCUAGCGUUGCUCGGAAUCACUGGGCGUAAAGGGUGCGUAGGCGGGUCUUUAAGUCAGAGGUGAAAUCCUGGGGCUCAACCCCAGAACUGCCUUUGAUACUGAGGAGCUUGAGUCCGGGAGAGGUGAGUGGAACUGCGAGUGUAGAGGUGAAAUUCGUAGAUAUUCGCAAGAACACCAGUGGCGAAGGCGGCUCACUGGCCCGGUACUGACGCUGAGGUGCGAAAGCGUGGGGAGCAAACCGG
rnacentral:rRNA from 1 species